rnacentral:rRNA from 1 species
UACGGAGGGUGCAAGCGUUAAUCGGAAUUAUUGGGCGUAAAGCGCGCGCAGGCGGUCCUUUAAGUCUGAUGUGAAAGCCCACGGCUCAACCGUGGAGGGUCAUUGGAAACUGGGGGACUUGAGUACAGAAGAGGAAAGCGGAAUUCCACGUGUAGCGGUGAAAUGCGUAGGGAUGUGGAGGAACACCAGUGGCGAAGGCGGCUUUCUGGUCUGUAACUGACGCUGAGGCGCGAAAGCGUGGGGAGCAAACAGG